rnacentral:rRNA from 1 species
GAUGAACGCUAGCGGGAGGCCUAACACAUGCAAGCCGAGCGGUAGAGAUUCUUCGGAAUCUUGAGAGCGGCGUACGGGUGCGGAACACGUGUGCAACCUACCUUUAUCUGGAGGAUAGCCUUUCGAAAGGAAGAUUAAUACUCCAUAAUAUAUUGAUUGGCAUCAAUUGAUAUUGAAAGCUCCGGCGGAUAGAGAUGGGCACGCGCAAGAUUAGUUAGUUGGUGAGGUAACGGCUCACCAAGACGAUGAUCUUUAGGGGGCCUGAGAGGUGAUCCCCCACACUGGUACUGAGACACGGACCAGACUCCUACGGGAGGCAGCAGUGAGGAAUAUUGGUCAAUGGGUGCAAGCCUGAACCAGCCAUCCCGCGUGAAGGACGACUGCCCUAUGGGUUGUAAACUUCUUUUGUAUAGGGAUAAACCUACCCUCGUGAGGGUAGCUGAAGGUACUAUACGAAUAAGCACCGGCUAACUCCGUGCCAGCAGCCGCGGUAAU